rnacentral:lncRNA from 1 species
AAUUGUUUUGCUUAAUUUAUGCCUUGCUGGUUUGUUCUUUAUUUUUUAGUUUUGUAAUGAUUCUAUGGUGUAGAUAGUAUUGGGUUGUUAUUUUAUUGUAUUGAAUUUUAAAUUAGAUUUUGGAUCCGUGGAUUCGGCAACUUCAUGUCGUUAUGCCACCUUUUUUUUUCAAUACAUUAAUCGAACAUUUCACCGAGUUAUGAUCUUACGAAUGACAUUAAUUGUAUUGUCAUUUCGUACAAACCGGUUUUGAGCACACCGAUUCCGUUAGAUAAA